CAGUUACAUGAGUUAAAUACCUUAAAAAAUUAAAUUGAUAUUUUAUGCUUUCUCAACAGGUUUUGAUAAAGUGAUUUAGAGAGGUAUUAUACUUCUCCAUAAAUUCAAGCAAUAUCUCCCAAAUGAUACAUUUUUUCUAUCACUGCAUAAUAAACCAGACAACAUGUAAUGAUUGAAAGCAACUGUAUUAUUAUUCCUCAUGGUUUUGUGUAUUUGUUGCAUCCUCCUGGGAAGUUCUGGUCUUGUGAUGUCCUCUGGGGCCAUAGUCAUCUGCAAGCUCACUGGGCUGAACCAACCGUGAUGGUCCACUUGUAUACUUGUCACUUGGUGCAGCUCAGCCAGGAGUUGACCACAGGACCUACACAUGACCCUCAUGUGGCAUGGGACCUUCACAGCAUGGCAGCUGGAGCUGUUUUAUGAUUUGGAUAUGAGGUGUCCCCCCAAAGUGCCUGUGUUAAUGCAGGAAUGUUUGGAGAUGAAAUGAAUGGAUUAUGGGAGCUGUAACUUAAUCCAUCUUAGUUUGAAUGGGCUGGCUGGGAGACAACUGUAGGCAGGUGGGGCAUGGGUGGUCACUGGGGGCAUGCCCUGGAAGGGUGCAUCUUCCCUGCUCCCCUUCCCCCCAUCCCUCACUGCUACUUGCUGCCAUGAGGAGAGCAGCUUUCCUCUGCUGGGUCCAUCUUCAUGAUCUGCUGCCUUAUCUUGGGCCCAAGCAAUGGAGUCAGCCAUCUAUGGACUGAGAUCUCUGAAACCACAUUGCUCUUCUCAGGUGUUUUGGUCACAGCAACAAAAAGCUGAUGUAAACAGUCUGAGAGGCUGAGUGCUAGGAGUAAGUGUUAACAGAGACCCUUCUUUCAUUUCCUCAAUGUGUAUCUCAGUGCACAAUAUAUGGCAGAUAAUACCACAUUGCAAUUUCAAAUUGUUAAAAGAACAGAG
rnacentral:lncRNA from 1 species